rnacentral:rRNA from 1 species
CCUACGGGAGGCAGCAGUGGGGAAUAUUGCACAAUGGGGGAAACCCUGAUGCAGCGACGCCGCGUGAGUGAAGAAGUAUUUCGGUACGUAAAGCUCUAUCAGCAGGGAAGAAAAACCGGCCUUAGGGCCGCCAGACGGUACCUGACUAAGAAGCCCCUGCUAACUACGUGCCAGCAGCCGCGGUAAUACGGAGGGGGCAAGCGUUAUCCGGAUUUACUGGGUGUAAAGGGAGCGUAGACGGCAGAGCAAGUCUGGAGUGAAAUGCCGGGGCUCAACCCCGGAACUGUUUUGGAAACUGUGCAGCUGGAGUGCAGGAGAGGUAAGCGGAAUUCCUAGUGUAGCGGUGAAAUGCGUAGAUAUUAGGAGGAACACCAGUGGCGAAGGCGGCUUACUGGACUGUAACUGACGUUGAGGCUCGAAAGCGUGGGGAGCAAACAGGAUUAGAUACCCCAGUAGUC